GGCGGAACGAGAAGGAGCAGGUCAGCACACCUGACGCGGCCAAGAUCGCGGACGCCCUGUAAAUCCGUCGCGAAAGCUUCAGAGGUUCGAAUCCUCUACCCGCCACCA
rnacentral:tRNA from 1 species